GUAGUCUCGCACAGAUGCAUAUCAAUAAGCGGAGGAAAAGAAACUAACAAGGAUUCCCUCAGUAACGGCGAGUGAAGCGGGAAGAGCUCAAAUUUGAAAUCUUGAAAGGUCACCUUUCACGAAUUGAUAGUUUAAAGAAGUGUUUUCUGUUACGAUCGUAAUAUAAGUUCUUUGGAAUAGGACAUCACAGAGGGUGAGAAUCCCGUCUAUGAUUGCGAUUUGUAGCUUUGCGAUACACUUUCAAAGAGUCGGGUUGUUUGGGAAUGCAGCCCAAAACGGGAGGUAAAUUUCUUCUAAGGCUAAAUAUUGGCGAGAGACCGAUAGCGAACAAGUACCGUGAGGGAAAGAUGAAAAGAACUUUGAAAAGAGAGUUAAAUAGUACGUGAAAUUGUCAAAAGGGAAGCGUUUAACACCAGUGUUGUUUUCUGAAAGUCAACCUCUGUUAGCUUUAUGCAUGUUUGUUUAGACCUAAUCAGCUAUCUUGCAUGUUCUAUUGUUUGCAGUGGUGCACUUUUCAGUUUACAGGUCAACAUCAGUCUUUUUUUACCGUAAAAAAGUUAAAGAAAGGUAGCUCAUGGCUCCGGUCGUGAGUGUUAUAGUCUUUUUCCUAUGCGGUAGGAGAGACUGAGGUCUGCAGUGUAGGCUAUUUGGCUAGAUACUCAGGUGCUAUGUGAUACCAUUUCAUAAACAACUUGUUGAUUAUGUUUUGUCUAUUGCAUACUCGCUUGUACUAUCAUACCUACGCUUAGGAUGUUGAGUUCGUAGAGCACGCAG
rnacentral:rRNA from 1 species